AUUCGUCCAAUUGAAGCAGAGGACAGUGGCGGACGGGUGAGUAACGCGUGAGGAACCUGCCUUUCAGAGGGGGAUAACAUUUAGAAACAGAUGCUAAUACCGCAUAAGAUUACAGUACCGCAUGGUACAGUGACCAAAGGAGCAAUCCGCUGAAAGAUGGACUCGCGUCCGAUUAGCUAGUUGGCGGGAUAAAGGCCCACCAAGUCGACGAUCGGUAGCCGGACUGAGAGGUUGAACGGCCACAUUGGGACUGAGACACGGUCCAGACUCC
rnacentral:rRNA from 1 species